CAGGGUUGCAUGUACUUGAAUUUAGUUGAAUCGCAUUUUUUUUAUUCAUAUGUACAUCUUAAAGUUUCUUACAUACGUACAUAUGGGACUCGCUUAUGAAAGUAAUAAGGUUUACUGAUAUGUAUGUACGCAGUCUUGGCAAUCAUUUUAUAAUCACACACAACACAUGUGUACUGGUUAGAUAAAAAUAUUUCUCGAAUUAUCUAGGGGACUUUUUUAUAUUUAUGAAAAUAUUUUACCCAUAAUGAAAUUAAGAUUUUCACCAGUUUUGAGCUUUGUGCUUAUUGUUACUGCACUGGUAUUGAUACAAGUUCCAGAAUCAGAAGAGGUUGAGUGGACAUGGAGCAAUGUGAAAAAUCGAAUUUCGGACAAACUUAUCCCAUCCCGUCAGACUAAUGCUGCUGCUUCAAUCACUAUGACUUACCCAACCCCACCAACUGCCCCACCCAGACGGAGGACAACACCCACUACGACUGCCCGAUCGUAUACCUUGAUCCCUAUGACGACACCCCGCAGGACGCAAGUUUCAGAUCAAUCGAGGACUUGUGCCUGUGGGGAAGAGACAGCUUCAGUAUUUUUUAGGCAAGGAGCGAUUUUAGGCAUAUUUUUAUAUUUCAUAUGGAUCACAUUUAUCCCUUGGUUUGGGAAAAUACCUACAUAUAAUUUGUGCUUUGCGAUGAACGACUUUCUCAUCUGCUUAACUACGUGUUCCGAGUUAAUGAAAAAUUUAGAUUUAUUUAAGGAAAGGCGAGCAUAACAUAUUUUGAUAUCGUGCUCUACUUUCACAUCUGCUUCAUUAAUUGUGCAAAGUUGGAUCGGUUGGGAUAUGCAGAAAGGGUCAAAUCCAAGCGUAUGCAAUGUAUGUAAAAAAAAGUUGUGAAUUAUGUAUGUACUUAACUACAAGUUAAUUAAUUACGAGUUUCAGGCCUGAAUCGGUUAGAUUUAUGUUUGUGAUUUAUUUCAUCAGUUAAAAAAUAAUAUGUACGUUCAAUGAUUUACAGCUAUCAUUUUACCAGUCAAUGAACCUACUGACUGACUUUGUUUCUGUAAAUUAGAACGUGUGUUAAAUGGUAAAUAUAAACAAAUACUUAUUUAGACUUGUUUGUCUUCACGA